rnacentral:rRNA from 1 species
GACGAACGCUGGCGGCGUGCCUAAUACAUGCAAGUCGAACGCACUCUCAUUUAGAUUGAAGGAGCUUGCUCCUAAUUGAUAAACAUUUGAGUGAGUGGCGGACGGGUGAGUAACACGUGGGUAACCUGCCCUAAAGUGGGGGAUAACAUUUGGAACAGAUGCUAAUACCGCAAUAAAACCUAACACCGCAUGGUGUAGGGUUGAAAGAUGGUUUCGGCUAUCACUUUAGGAUGGACCCGCGGUGCAUUAGUUAGUUGGUGAGGUAAAGGCUCACCAAGACCGUGAUGCAUAGCCGACCUGAGAGGGUAAUCGGCCACACUGGGACUGAGACACGGCCCAGACUCCUACGGGAGGCAGCAGUAGGGAAUCUUCCACAAUGGACGAAGUCUGAUGAGCAACGCCGCGUGAGU